GUGACACACACAAGCUCCGCCUCCCACACUAUCUUACAGGAGGAAGGAGCUGCUGCUGCUGAUAUUGAUGCAUGAUGCCAGCCGCUGCGGGAUGACGUCCGGCCGCGUGAUGACGUCACUUCCGGGCUCGGUGGCGUGACGUGACCGGAAGUGCUGGGCCUGCGGCUCCGGGCGGUGUCGCCGCAACAGAGGUUGGCGCUCCAUGGACUGAGAAACCCUACAGGGAACAUUAAGCAUUGAUGAGAUUUUGAGAAGUGAGUACACAGAGCAUAAUGAAAGUUCUACUGGCAAAACAAGCAGUGCAGCCCCGUGCCCUCCAGCUAACACUGUACUGGUCUUUAAGUAGCAAAUCUGCAAUGGGAAAUCCCCACGGGCCUGAGUGGCAGGCUCAGUUCUAGCAGCAAAGACUGUGGAUAAAAGUGAUCUUUUUUGGGAUGAUACUGUGCUUAUCGGUGCCUGGGUGCUAGCAGGAGAAGCUAAUUACCAACUCUCAGUCAUAUUUAAUCCUUACUCACCCAUUGCUAUAAAGUACAGAUUACUGGUGCUCACUUACAUAGUGCUAUCACAUCAACCAGCGCUUUGCAGAGAAUAAUUUCAUCGCUUAGAUCAGUCCUGGGCCUGUAGGCUGCAUUCUGAAGACUAUUGGUUCAACUGUACAAAAUGGCUGCCUCCUCUGCAAAGGCUCAUAAUUGGUUCGCUCACAAAUCUGCAGUAGAGAUUACUGCAAUUAUUCCACUGAAAUGUCGGUAACACAAAUGUCAAAAGCCACAAUGACUGAAAGUUUGUUUGUUUUCAUGUAAUCAGCUACAAGCACUGAGGUGGCAAUGUGCCUGCAAUUGUUUCCAGCAAUGAUGUACUAAGUGAUGUAAAGCUUCAAAUACUAAAAAUAAGUUUAUUAUUCAGUAGAAAGGCAACAAAUACACUGACUAUAAAGUCUUCAAAAAAUAAAGAGGCUAGGGAUUGGGGGGUUCUCAUUACUAAGCCUGGGAUGAAACUAAAGUGAUCGUAGAUUAAGAGGGAGAUGUACUAAUCAGUGAAAAGAGUGGAGAAGUGAGCCAGUGAAGAAGUUGCCUAUGGCAACCAAUCAACUGCUCUGUAUAAUUUGAUAGUAUGCAAAUUAUAAAUGUUACUUCAAUGCUGAUUGGUUGUCAUGGGCUACUUCUCCACUGGCUCACUUCUCCACUCUUUUUACUGCACAUCUCCCCCUUAGGGGACUAUUUUACUAAGCCGUGGAUGGCGAUAAAGGGAACCUUCUUUUUUCUUUUUGGUAAAAUAAAUUAGAUGGAUGAUAUGACUAGUAAUGUUGAUUUAUGUUGUAUGUGGAUUGCAUCACUGCUAUCUACUUGUCAUACAGGUAGUGUUUGUUAUACAGGAAGUGCUGCAGCAGCCAUUGUUCAAUAUGACUUAUAUGUAGUAAAGGCAUACUUCUGCAGUUCUCCAGAGUCCUGUGGUGAUUUGCACACAGACUUUUUUUUACA